AUACGUAGGUGGCAAGCGUUGUCCGGAAUUAUUGGGCGUAAAGCGCAUGUAGGCGGUUUGGUAAGUCGGUCGUGAAAAUGCGGUGCUUAACGCCGUAUGGCGAUCGGAACUGCUGAACUUGAGUGCAGGAGAGGGAAGGGGAACUCCCAGUGUAGCGGGGAAAUGCGUAGAUAUUGGGAAGAACACCGGUGGCGAAGGCGCCUUUCUGGACUGUGUCUGACGCUCAGAUGCGAAAGCCAGGGUAGCGAACGGGAUUAGAUACCCCGGUAGUCCUGGCCGUAAACGAUGGGUACUAGGUGUGGGAGGUAUCGACUCCUUCCGUGCCGGAGUUAACGCAAUAAGUACCCCGCCUGGGGAGUACGGCCGCAAGGCUUAAACUCAAAUGAAUUGACGGGG
rnacentral:rRNA from 1 species